rnacentral:rRNA from 1 species
UAUUAUAUUGUGAGUAAUUAAAAAUGCUGGAGUAGUAAGAGUUAAGGGCUUGAAACUCAGAGAAUUUGACGGUAUUGUAGUCCUUUCAGAGGAACUUGUCCUGUAAUUGAUAAUACACGAGUGUAGUACUUUAUUUUAUGGUUAAUUUGUAUAUCGCCGUCAUAAGAUUAUCUUAAUAAGAGUGAAAUUUCUUGAUUUUAGAUUAAAAAGUAUGUCAGGUCAAGGUGCAGUUUAUGAUAAAGGGGUGAUGAGUUACAAUAAUUUUAAUUAUACGGAUAAUGGUAUUAGGGGUUAUUUGAAGGUGGAUUUGAUUGUAAAUUUGUGUAUUGGCAGAUUGAUUAUGGCUCUAUAAUGUGUACAUAUCGCCCGUCGCUCUCAUUUGUUGUUGAG